UGAAAAUUUCAUUGAGGUAACAUUUGAGAAGACAGAGGACUGAAUAAUACAAGGUUGUGAACAAUAUCAACAUAAUGAAAAACAUUCAGGGUGAGAAUUUAACAUCUAGAUGAAUUUGAAAUGAUGAAGAAUCCAAAAGUUCGGCAAUAAGCAUGAAAAGUGUAAUAAUCUGGGAAAUGGUACAAUAUAAAGACCAUGAUAGAAGAGGCCGGGGGCAUAUUUACAAGCAAGGAUAAAAAGGAAAAUUUGUGAUUUAGUUUCAUGAAAAUAAGUCUAGUUACUGAUGGAGAAUGGAUUUGGGGUUGGCCACACUAGGCACAGUAUGAUUAGUUAUCUGUGAUUAAUAGACGUCCAGAAGCAGAUGAUCUUUCUUCUGACUUAUCACCAUAAGGUCAAUAAGGUAACAUCCCAGGGAUUUUGUCAUUCAUCCCACUUCCCGUCAUCAUAUAGGCAUUUUAUCGUCUUAGAUCACAAGGGUUCAUCGUGUCCAUAAUCUACUAAGGAUCAUGAUGUUUCCAUCUUCACUCCUCCAUUCCAAGGAUCUUUGAAUAUGUACAACUCUCUAAUGUGUCCAAAGCCAAGUCUGUGCUAUCCACCUGGACCGCCCUGGCUGUAUAGACCAUGCUAGCCCAAUGUCGAGGAAAUAAAAUUCUGAUGUUUGUAAGCCACUGAGCAGUUAGAGGCACUGCUGUGUAGUGGUUAGAAGUAAAG